rnacentral:rRNA from 1 species
GACGUAGGUGACGAACGUUAUCCGGAAUUAUUGGGCGUAAAGGGUGCGUAGAUGGUUUGAUGAGUUAUUGGUGGUAAAUUAGAGCCCAACUCUGCGGAAGCCAAUAAUACUAUCAUACUUGAGUGCAGAAGAGGUUAACGGAAUUCCCGGUGUAGUGGUGAUAUGCGUAGAUAUCGGGAGGAACACCGGUGGCGAAGGCGGCCCACUGGAUCGGUACUGACGCUGAGGUGCGAAAGCGUGGGGAGCAAACAGG